rnacentral:rRNA from 1 species
UACGUAGGGACCAAGCGUUGUUCGGAUUUACUGGGCGUAAAGGGCGCGUAGGCGGCGUGACAAGUCACUUGUGAAAUCUCUGGGCUUAACCCAGAACGGCCAAGUGAAACUGUUGUGCUAGAGUGCAGAAGGGGCAAUCGGAAUUCUCGGUGUAGCGGUGAAAUGCGUAGAUAUCGAGAGGAACACCAGAGGUGAAGGCGACACGCUGGGCCGUACCUGACGCUAAAGCGCGACAGCAUGGGGAGCAA